rnacentral:lncRNA from 1 species
AGUUCCUAAGAAGCAAUGGACAAAGACCCAGAGUCUGUGCUGGGGGCCUUGGAAGGCUCUAAACCCUGAGCAGCAGUUUACAGAAGAGGCGAACAAUAUGGAUAUGGAGACAAUCUCUUAGGAGACUUGGGAGUGCUCUCCUGUAGGAUCCAAGACUUCUCAUCUUUCCGAUGCGAACUGAAUUAUGCUAGCAUGUCAACCAGGACAUUUCAGAGAAGCAUCGAACAGAAACGUGUUAGUAAACCUCUUACCAGAACACCCUCACUAUCGAUUUUUUUUUGUCACUAAAACACAAACCAGCAUGGGACAUUAAACAGGACCUUUGGUAUUUGGUGUUGGGAAAAUGCCCCCUUGGAUCUAGAGCUCUUUAGGAGUAAUGGCUUCCCGAAAAGAACUAUAGAGAAAAAGAAGGCAGAAUAACCCAGGUGCCUGAGCAUCUUUGAGGAGAGGUUGUCUGUACAGGUGUAUGAGGAAAAGAAAAUCUUAUUUAUGAAUGGAGUGUGGUGAUACACCCUAUCCCGAGCUUUUGUCCCCACCAGCAAGAACAUGCUCAGGACAACCGGAAUCUUCUGCGGCAAAAGCUUUAUUGCUUACUUCUUUAGGAACAAGAGGAGAAGAAUAGGGGCGAAUGGCAAAACCCUGUCCCUUUUAUGGAGGAUUGUCCUCCGCCUCGGACAUGUCGCUCCCUGAUUGGCUGCAGCCCAUCAACCGAGUUGUCGUCAAGGGGAAGGCAGAGCACAUGGAGUGGAGAACUACCCCGGCACAUGCGCAGAUUAUUUGUUUACUACUUA